rnacentral:rRNA from 1 species
UUCCGGUUGAUCCCGCCGGAGAUCACUGCUAUUGGGAUUCGACUAAGCCAUGCGAGUCGAGAGGGUUCGGCCCUCGGCGAACUGCUCAGUAACACGUGGAUAAUUUGCCCUUAGGUGGAGGAUAACCUCGGGAAACUGAGAAUAAUACUCCAUAGAUCUUAGAGGCUGGAAUGCACUAAGAUUAAAAACUCCGGUGCCUAAGGAUAAGUCUGCGGACUAUCAGGUUGUAGUCAGGGUAAAGACCUGACUAGCCUACGACGGAUACGGGUUGUGAGAGCAAUAACCCGGAGACGAUAUCUGAGACAUGAUAUCGGGCCCUACGGGGCGCAGCAGGCGCGAAACCUUCACAAUGUGCGAAAGCGCGAUGAGGGAAUCCCAAGUGCUUGCUCGUAAGAGUAAGCUGUUUUUAUGUCUAAAACGCAUGAAGAGUAAGGGCUGGGUAAGACGGGUGCCAGCCGCCGCGGUAAUACCUGCAGCUCAAGUGGUGAUCGCUAUUAUUGGGCCUAAAACGUUCGUAGCCGGUUUGGUAAAUGCCUGGGUAAAUCGUGUAGCUUAACUAUACGAAUUCCGGGUAGACUGCUAAACUUGAGACCGGGAGAGGCUAGAGGUACUCCUGGGGUAGAGGUGAAAUUCUGUAAUCCUGGGGGGACCACCAGUGGCGAAGGCGUCUAGCUAGAACGGGUCUGACGGUGAGGGACGAAGCCCUGGGGCGCAAACCGGAUUAGAUACCCGGGUAGUCCAGGGUGUAAACGCUGCUUGCUUGAUGUUAGUUGGGCUCCGAGCCCAAUUAGUGUCGGAGAGAAGUUGUUAAGCAAGCUGCCUGGGAAGUACGGUCGCAAGACUGAAACUUAAAGGAAUUGGCGGGGGAGCACAGCAACGGGUGGAGCGUGCGGUUUAAUUGGAUUCAACGCCGGA